UACGUAGGGUGCGAGCGUUAAUCGGAAUUACUGGGCGUAAAGCGUGCGCAGGCGGUUCGUUAUGUCCGAUGUGAAAGCCCCGAGCUCAACUUGGGAAUGGCAUUGGAAACUGGCGGGCUGGAGUGUGGCAGAGGGGGGUGGAAUUCCACGUGUAGCAGUGAAAUGCGUAGAGAUGUGGAGGAACAUUAGUUGCGAAGGCGGCUCUCUGGACCAGCACUGACACUGAGGCACGAAAGCGUGGGGAGCAAACAGG
rnacentral:rRNA from 1 species